CUACGGGUUGCUGCAGUGGGGAAUAUUGCACAAUGGGCGCAAGCCUGAUGCAGCCAUGCCGCGUGUAUGAAGAAGGCCUUCGGGUUGUAAAGUACUUUCAGCGGGGAGGAAGGGAGUAAAGUUAAUACCUUUGCUCAUUGACGUUACCCGCAGAAGAAGCACCGGCUAACUCCGUGCCAGCAGCCGCGGUAAUACGGAGGGUGCAAGCGUUAAUCGGAAUUACUGGGCGUAAAGCGCACGCAGGCGGUUUGUUAAGUCAGAUGUGAAAUCCCCGGGCUCAACCUGGGAACUGCAUCGGAUACUGGCAAGCUAGAGUCUCGUAGAGGGGGGUAGAAUUCCAGGUGUAGCGGUGAAAUGCGUAGAGAUCUGGAGGAAUACCGGUGGCGAAGGCGGCCCCCUGGACGAAGACUGACGCUCAGGUGCGAAAGCGUGGGGAGCUAACAGGAUUAGAUACCCCGGUAGUC
rnacentral:rRNA from 1 species